rnacentral:rRNA from 1 species
CCAAUAGCGUAUAUUAAAGUUGUUGCAGUUAUAAAGCUCGUAGUUGAAUUUCGGGGUUAGUAGGUUGGUCAUGCCUCUGGUAUGUACUGGUCUCACUGAUUCCUCCUUCCUGAUGAGCCGUAAUGCCAUUAAUUUGGUGUUGCGGGGAAUUUGGACUGUUACUUUGAAAAAAUUAGAGUGUUUAAAGCAAGCUAACGCUUGAAUACAUUAGCAUGGAAUAAUGAAAUAGGACGUUCGAUCCUAUUUUGUUGGUUUCUAGGAUUGACGUAAUGAUUAAUAGGGAUAGUUGGGGGCAUUAGUAUUCAAUUGUCAGAGGUGAAAUUCUUGGAUUUAUUGAAGACUAACUACUGCGAAAGCAUUUGCCAAGGAUGUUUUCAUUAAUCAAGAACGAAAGUUAGGGGAUCGAAGACGAUCAGAUACCGUCGUAGUCUUAACCAUAAACUAUGCCGACUAGGGAUCGGAUGAUGUUAAUUUUUUAACGACUCAUUCGGCGCCUUACG